CCAAAGUUUAUAGCAGGAAUAUAUUGGUGAGGCAAUAUAUUGCAGCCAACAUUGCUAUUAUAAACUUCAUGGCGAGGCAGAUAUUGAAAAAAAGGGCCUUUUCUGAAGACAUUUUCAUGAAUUUCUUUUGAGGCAAUAUAUUGCAAUAUAUUUGAGAAGUAGGAGGAUCACCUACUUUGUGAAAGAUAUGCUGAACUGUGCAGGUUCAAACAGGUGUUCAAGUUCUCCAUGACAAACAUGAGAUAGUUGAGGCUCAACUCCAGCUAGCAAAGCUACAUCAAUCUUCUUCCAGAGCACCUUAAUGUGAACUGACAGAGAAUGGGCAAGCAAUGGACCUUAAUGUGGUGCUUGAUAAGCUUAUGAACGAUGGAGGAGGGGAUGAUCCAGCCUCAAAAGAUUUGGUUUGGUCGGUGAUUGUUUGUUUGUGCCUUGGCUUUGCGAUUUGUGUAUAUACUCUCUUCGAAUC